AGCGAACGCUGGCGGCAGGCCUAACACAUGCAAGUCGAGCGGCCGUAGCAAUACGGCAGCGGCAGACGGGAGAGUAACACGUGGGAACGCGCCCUUCGGUUCGGGAUAACUCAGGGAAACUUGGGCUAAUACCGGAUACGCCCUUAUGGGGAAAGAUUUAUUGCCGAAGGAACGGCCCGCGUCCGAUUAGCUUGUUGGUGAGGUAACGGCUCACCAAGGCGACGAUCGGUAGCUGGUCUGAGAGGAUGACCAGCCUCACUGGGACUGAGACACGGCCCAGACUCCUACGGGAGGCAGCAGUGGGGAAUAUUGGACAAUGGGCGCAAGCCUGAUCCAGCCAUGCCGCGUGAGUGAUGAAGGCCUUAGGGUUGUAAAGCUCUUUCGGCGGGGAAGAUAAUGACGGUACCCGCAGAAGAAGCCCCGGCUAACUUCGUGCCAGCCGCCGCAGUAAUAC
rnacentral:rRNA from 1 species